AGUAAAGUCAGCUAAUUAAGCUCUUGGGCCCAUACCCCAAUAAUGUUGGUUAAACCCCUUCCUUUAUUAA
rnacentral:tRNA from 1 species